AUUGAACGCUGGCGGCAGGCCUAACACAUGCAAGUCGAACGCGUGGCGGACGGGUGAGUAAUGUCUGGGAAACUGCCUUAUGGCUGGGGAUAACUCCUGGAAACGGUAGCUAAUACCGCAUACCAUCAGAUGUGCCCAGAUGGGAUUAGCUUGUUGGUGGGGUAACGGCUCACCAAGGCGACGAUCCCUAGCUGGUCUGAGAGGAUGACCAGCCACACUGGAACUGAGACACGGUCCAGACUCCUACGGGAGGCAGCAGUGGGGAAUAUUGCACAAUGGGCGCAAGCCUGAUGCAGCCAUGCCGCGUGUAUGAAGAAGGCCUUCGGGUUGUAAAGUACUUUCAGCGGGGAGGCGUUACCCGCAGAAAAAGCAACGGCUAACUCCGUGCCAGCAGCCGCGGUAAUUC
rnacentral:rRNA from 1 species